ACAUCUGUGCAAGGAUGAAGACAUUACAUGCAAUGCUACUGAUGGUGUUUGUUGCAUCAGUCUUUUCUAAACCAUUUGAUUUGCGCAGAAGAUUUGAUUUAUCAGACACUGUGCGAUCUAGAUUCAGCUCAGAGGAAAAUGAUUCAAGCAGAGAAGACAGGGAGGAUUCACAGUCCGAUGAGAAAUCUGAAUCAAACGAGUCUAAAUCAAGUGACUCUGAAUCUUCGGAGGAAGUUGUGUCAAGCACAUUCCCUCCAGCUAGCACAACAAGUCCACUGACUGCUGGCAAAACAACAACAACAACAUUAGCUACCACGACACAAGACACCACAAACUGUGUUACUGCAACAAGGGGUGAUGGUAAUGUUAUAAUAUCUUGCGGUCCUUAAUCAUCACUUGAAUGUUUAAAGGUGUACAAUUCAUUACAUUUUACAUUAUAAUGUAAUGUUUAUGUGCUGAUAAUGAAGGUCUUGACACUGAAUGAUGUAACUUUUAAAAUGAUUUACUUUUAAACUGCAUGUCACUAUUAUGGUUUUAAGUGCUUAUUUGGAAUUGUAAAAAUCUUUCAAAUGCAUUCAAAUUAUUUAACACCCUUUAACACACUGUUUUCCAAAGUGAUUUAUUAUUGGUAGUACUUUGUCU
ensembl:lncRNA